rnacentral:rRNA from 1 species
CCUACGGGUGGCAGCAGUGAGGAAUAUUGGUCAAUGGGCGGGAGCCUGAACCAGCCAAGCCGCGUGAGGGAAGAAGGUCCAGCGUAUCGUAAACCUCUUUUGUCAGGGAACAAAGUCGGGGACUAGUCCCCGGAUGAGGGUACCUGAUGAAAAAGCAUCGGCUAACUCCGUGCCAGCAGCCGCGGUAAUACGGAGGAUGCGAGCGUUAUCCGGAUUUAUUGGGUUUAAAGGGGGCGCAGGCGGGCUGUUAAGUCAGCUGUAAAAGCCCGGGGCUCAACCCCGACAUGCCGUGGGAAAGGGGGUGCUGGGAGGACAGGUGAGGUAGGCGGAAGGCGUGGGGGAGGGGGGAAAGGCUUAGA